UAAUAAAACAUUAAAACAUUACAUCAGUUCCAGCUGAAGAAGAACGUAACAUACGCUCCAACUUCUAGUUCCAGCUGAAGAACAUACGGUCCAGCUGAAGAACAUAUGCUCCAGUUGAAUCUGAAGAACGUACCUCCAGCUGAAGAACAUACGCUCCAAGCUUUGUUAGUAUUUUAGGAUUUCAUGGUGAAGAGCUGAAUAGCUACUCGCUGUAGAACACGAUUUCACAAUUUCUUGUUGAAAGGAUUUUGUUGGAAUAUGGUUUAUCAGUAUAAUCAACACAAAAACAUUUGUGGAGGAUUCAAGGUUUGAUUUGGAAUAGCACAAGAGCCAUGACUAGGAAUUCAAAUAUCCCAUCCAAGGAUUGGAUAAAUUUAGCAAGGUAAAGCAAAGAGUAUAUUGAUGGUGUUGAAUCAUUCCUAGAUUUUGCUUACUCUUAUGGAGAUCCAAUAGGAGAGGAAAUUCAGUGUCCAUGUGCAAAAUGUUGUAAUAUUCGCUGGACUUGAAGGAAUGUAGUGUGUGAUCAUCUAAUAUGCUAUGAAUUUGUUAAAGGUUAUUGUUUA